GUCAUCAUGGUGACAAUCAGGCUACCUUUUUCUUGUAUCUGUUUUAAAAGUUUUCACUCGGUAACUUGCAAUCGCUGUGCCCCUUGCAGCUGUUUACCCUUGAAGCCAUGCUUGGAGCUCGUCUGUUUGGAAGAUUACUUACCAGCACUCUGUGGACCGCUUCUGUAAAUCAGCUACCCUCCUCACCACUGUUGCAGCAACAGCUCCAGCUUGCCUAUCCACCUGCCAACUGUCUGGAACCUUCCUGCCGACUCUGUACUCCCUUCACACUCUGCCUGCCUGCCAUAACAACACACAGUAUAGUUGCCGCUGCUUCAUAAAGGACCAGUUUAAAGACGUGGCAGAGCCGCCGCAUACUGCAGCGCCGGAGCAGGUUUUAUAUCCUGCUUAGGCCAGCGUGGGACAGAACAUCGGUGUUUGCUUUGUACUCUCAGGUGAUGUCCAGGAUUCGACAGAGGCAUCACAAGUACAAGGUGUGGAUUGCAGUGAAGUCAAUUGAGCAUCCAGACUCAGAGGCUUGAAUUUUAAUUUGUGAAAAAUGCAAAGUGGGAUUGUUUUGGGGUAAGUCCAUGAAAUCCAAGUUGCACAGUAGCUUCAUAUUCAGUGGUAGGCUAUGCUACAAUAUGUGUGCAUGAUGGUGUAUUAUUGAAAGCUCACUGAAGAACAUGAGUGCUAUAUAAAGGCAGAUUUUUUUACACUU